rnacentral:rRNA from 1 species
UACAGAGGUCCCGAGCGUUGUUCGGAUUCACUGGGCGUAAAGGGUGCGUAGGUGGCGAGGUAAGUCGGAUGUGAAAGCUCGGAGCUCAACUCCGAAAUGGCAUUGGAAACUACCUUGCUCGAGGGUUGGAGGGGAGACUGGAAUUCUCGGUGUAGCAGUGAAAUGCGUAGAUAUCGAGAGGAACACCAGUGGCGAAGGCGAGUCCCUGGACAACUUCUGACGCUGAGGCACGAAAGCUAGGGGAGCAAACAGG